GCCUACAUUCUUCUUCUUUUCCAAUCAAAAUACUCCUUCAUUUCACUCCUCAUAUUACCAUAAUAAUAAUAAUCUCCUAUUUCUCUUGGGCCACACAUGACAUCAUCAUCACUCUAUUCCAAUUCAUACUCAAGUCAUCAUUUAGAAUCCUUUCAAAUGAUCAUAAAUCAGAAGAAUAUGUUGCCGAGAAAAUUACAACAAAAAAUAAUGGAAGAAAAGGCUUUCAACAUUGAAGCUACCUACAGUUUUCAUCAAAAUUAUCUACCUAACUAAUGUAAUUUUUAUUUAGAUUACUUACAUGGAAGAGAGCAAGUAGCCAUAACGUAUCUUUACAUAAUGAAUUGCAGUUGUACAAUUUAGCGACAGAAUAGAAAAUAAUAUACUAAAUAAAAUGCAAUGACAUUAUUUUGUUAAAUCGAUAAAAAUGAUAAGAUAAAGAUUUAACCUUGUAUACACUUUUACGACGCCUAUAGAUUUCUGCUCAUCAUAUUAGGAUCUUUUCUUAUACGAA
rnacentral:lncRNA from 1 species